CUCUCUUCUCUUCCUCGCAGCAGAUGAAACCCUAGUGAAAUCUCUUGAAUCUAUUCAAUAAUUGAACCCUAGUGAGAGUGGUGGAGCUUUCAUUUUCUCUGCAAAAUCUCGUCAAGGAGAAAGCUAGGGUUUCAAAAAUCAAAUUAAUCCUUAGCUUAGAUUAGCUCAUGGAUUUAGAAUCGUCCACACAUGUUAUGUAAUGAGUUUGAUUUAGGGUUCAUCCUUGAAUCGGUGAAGAAAACAAUUAUGGGUUUUUUUCUUUGGGUGUUUUCGUGUUAAAGAUGAGAACCAAAAUCAUCAUAUCAUCUCUGAUUCUUCCAACAAAAAAAAUCCUUUGGUAUCUAGGAAUCGUCUAGCAGCGUUACUCUUAUCUGAAUCUCAAGAUAGAAAGGUGUGGGUUACAGUUGUAAUGAUGGAGGUGAAUUGGUAGUUUGUCCUAAUUCUGUUAUGAAGAAGCUGACGUGUUGAUUUGGGUUGCAUUGAAUUAUGUCUUAGAUGAGGAUGAGUAUGAGUUACUGCGGGAUAACAAUGUGGGAUUUCACCGUCCUGCACCAGUGAAUUCUUGUUCUUGACCUAGUAUUUGUUUAUAUCUUUGAAUAGCUACUUAGGUUGAAGACAGAAUUUGAUGUGCCAGGUGAUCCUUCUAUAGUUGGAAAAGAAACGGGCAAAGGCGAAUUCUAUAUGUGGGUCGAGUGAGGUGUCCUAGUAACUUUCAAGCUGAGAGCACUUUUUUUUUGGGAGUUGUUUUAUUUCAAUACUUGUCAGGUGAUACUUCUAUACUUGUCCAAUGGUUUUGUCUCUGCAAUUAGCUUUUCUGUGCUUGGUGAUCAUAUAUGCAGUCCCUAUUCUUCAUAUCACUUUCUUCAUCUAUCUCAACAAAGUUUCUGCAAGAUGUGGUGCUUACAUCGCCUGCAAGCAAGAGAUAAUGCAGCCUAAUGCUAGCAUCAAAUACAGGUUCAUCUGGACUCAGUUUCCUUCAAAUCUGAUGAAUGCAUUACUGCUUGGGGAUGCAAUACAAGAUCUUCCUGAAGUCAGCCGAGAAGACACUUUCUUCAACUGCGUGGCAUGCUGUUUCAACAGGGACCAUGUUUACUGUCUACUACAAACCAAGGAAGUAAUUAGGUGCGGAAGUGUUCGCGCGAAGUUGUAGCUGGGAUUAGGUAUACAGUUUUCUUAUUUACAGAAUAUGUUCAUGAUCUUUGUACUACACGGAAUGAACUUAUAGUGAUAUAAGUGAGAAUGAACUGAACUUGAGAAGUUUCUAAGUAUUCCCUUAAAAAUAUUUUGGUACUUAGAAUUUGUUUUCUUUUUUUGAUAUGAAUGGAAUGUGU